rnacentral:rRNA from 1 species
CCUACGGGUGGCAGCAGUGAGGAAUAUUGGUCAAUGGGCGCGAGCCUGAACCAGCCAAGUAGCGUGAAGGAUGACUGCCCUACGGGUUGUAAACUUCUUUUAUAAAGGAAUAAAGUGAGGCACGUGUGCCUUUUUGUAUGUACUUUAUGAAUAAGGAUCGGCUAACUCCGUGCCAGCAGCCGCGGUAAUACGGAGGAUCCGAGCGUUAUCCGGAUUUAUUGGGUUUAAAGGGAGCCUAGAUGGGUUGUUAAGUCAGGGGUGAAAGUUUGCGGCUCAACCCUAAAAUUGCAAUUGAUACUGGCAGCCUUGAGUUCAGUUGAGGUAGGCGGAAUGCGGGGUGUAGCGGUGAAAUGCAUAGAUAUCACGAAGAACUCCGAUUGCGAAGGCAGCAUACUGACCUGCCACUGACAUUGAUGCUCGAAAGUGUGGGUAUCAAACAGGAUUAGAUACCCGGGUAGUC